CUGCAGGGUGGACCAUGGUGGAGAGCAGAGGUUAAAACCUGGUCUGAGGAAGUAUUUCUCUCAACUUGAACUGUAUGAAAACUCAAUGAACAGAUUCCUCAAACUGUCCAACAAUAACAGGAAGGUGACACAUGUGGAGGAAGAGCAGCCGUAUCCUGAUCAUCCAGACAGAUUUGAUGGCUGGACUCCUCAGCUGCUGUGUAGAAAUGAUCUGAGUGGUCGAUGUUACUGGGAGGUCGAGUGGAGUGGAUGGGUUUAUAUAUCAGUGAGUUACAGAGGAAUCAGGAGGAGAGGAGGCAUGAAGGAGUGUUUGUUUGGAGCGAAUGAUCAGUCCUGGAAUCUGAACUGCUCUGAUGAAGGUUACUCUGUCUGGCACAAUAAAAGAGAAACAUCCAUCUCCUCCUCCUCCUCCUCCUCCUCCUCCUCUGGUAGAGUAGCAGUGUAUGUGGACUGUCCUGCUGGCUCUCUGUCCUUCUUCACAGUCUCCUCUGACUCUCUGAUCCUCCUCUACACCUUCAACACCACAUUCUCUCAACCUCUUUGUGCUGGAUUUUCACUCUGGAACUCUGGUUCCGGUUCUUCAGUGAGUCUGUGUCCUCUGUAGGAAGGACGGUCUCUGUCUCUGACAGCAGUCCUGUCAGCACCAAUCAGAGAUCAGAGAACAUCAGUGGAGUUCAGCAGGGUUCACAGACGGAGCCUCCAACACUUUGUAAAUAUGUGGUCAGUUUAAGUUUCAGGACGUUUUCUAACCUCCUCAAGUCUUUGUCAGCAACAGUGGAGACGAUGAGGACAGGACUCUUCUGAUCACAGUUUGACGUUUGAGUUGUUGAUGUUGGAUUGUAAAUGUGAACUGAAUCAGUGUUCUUGUGCAAGUUACCAAAAAUCAAUCCUUGAUUUCAUUUCCUUUAGGAGUUCCUGAAGUUAAAACUCAA